rnacentral:rRNA from 1 species
CCCGCAACGACGCGACACCUUGUGUUAGUUGCAAACAGGUCAAGCUGUGCACUCUAGACAGACUGCCGUGGACAACACGGAGGAAGUGGGGAUGACGUCAAAUCAUCAUGCCCCUUAUGAUCUGGGCUACACACGUGCUACAAUGGCCGGUACAACGGGCAGCGAAGGAGCGAUCCGGAGCGAAUCCUAAAAAGCCGGUCCCAGUUCGGAUUGCAGGCUGAAACUCGCCUACAUGAAGUUGGAGUUGCUAGUAAUCGCGAAUCAGAAUGUCGCGGUGAAUGCGUUCCCGGGUCUU